CCCGAAGUCACCACAUCCCACACCUCGUGACACUUGGGUUCUCAUUUGGGCAGGGUGAAUUUCCUCCCUGAAACAUAGUUGUGGUGACCACAGGAGGCCCUGAUGCCUGGGAGAAGGCAAACAUCACCCCCCUCUUUGAGAACAGCAAGAAGGAGGAGCUGAGGAACUACAGUCUCACCUCUAGUACCUGGGAAGGUGAUGGAAUAAUCCCUUCUGGUAGUCGUUUUGAGGUCCACGAAGAACAAGGAGGUGGUGGGAACAGCCAGCAUGAAUACAACACGGGCAAAUCAGGCCCGAUCAAUUUGACUGACUUCUGUGAUGAGAUAACUGUCUGGAUAGACAUGGGAGGGCAGUGGAUGUUGAGUACCUUAAUUUGAGCAAGGCCUUCAGCACAAUCUCCUACGGACGCCUUAGACCUAAAUUUGGAAGAUAUGCUCUGGGCAAGUGGAUAAUAAUGACAGUGGUCAGGAUUACCAGGCUCCAAUGGCUACGUGGCAAGAGAUCCUGCUAGCAGCUAGUUACCAGUGGUAAUUCUCAGGGACCAGUACUGUGGCUAGUACGGUUUAAUUUCUGUUUUGAGAACCUGAGUGAUGGAAUAGAGCGCACUCUCAGCAUGUUUGCUGAUGCUUCCAAACUGGAGCGAGUGGUAAUGCACUGGAGGGAAGAGACUGUCCUGAGGGGGACAUUGACAGGCCAGAAAAGUGGUCUGACUGGAACCUCCUGAAGCUCCAGAAAAACAAAUGAGGACUUGGACAUCUGGGAAGACAGAAACAAUCCCACACAACGGGGCGGGCCAGAGGGAUGACUAGGUAGAAAGCAGCUUUGAAGAAAAAGCCACUUUUGGGGGUUAGGUGGACAAGAAGUGGAAGGUGUGCCAGCAGCAUGCCCUAGCUUCAUGGAAGUUCAAAAUCACCUUGGGGUGCACUGGCAAGAGCACAGGCAGCCAGUGGAGGGGAGUGAUCUCUUUGGCACUUCUGAGAUCAUUGUCUGGAAGAAUGUGUCCAAUGUUGGACUACCCAGUACGGGAAAGACGUUACCUAGUGGAGUGAGUCCAGUAGAGGAACACAGGGACACUCGGGUGAUUCGUGGUCUGACACACCCCAAGGGCAAGGCAGGGCUGGGAGACUGGGUUUCUUCAUCCUUGUCCCUUCCUAGGGGAAGGGGAUCAUCUUACUGUCAGCACCUACUUAGUGUGGGGGUGGAUUCUCUCAGAGAAGACGGAGGCAAAUCAUUCUCAGAGGAGCACGGUCGUAAGAUGCAAGGUGAUGGGUGCAAGUUGGAACAUGGUAAAUUUGGAUUAGAUACUGAGGGAUACUUUUUCACCUUUAGGGUGUUCAGACUUGGAAGAGGCUGCCCAGAGAGCUUGCCCAAACGUCCUUGAAAUUGUUGAAAACUUUACCGGACAAGACCCUACCCAGUUGUCCUGCUUUGAGCAGGGGCAGGCCCGAGACUGCAGAGGUUUCUUCCAACCUACAUUAUUGUGUAUGUCUACAAAACUACACCGAACACACUGUGUUUUCAAACCCGCAAUUGGGCUGGAGGAGAGCUGCCAGGAACUUUACGGAAGAAAUUUUAAAGCCACCUUCCUAGAAAGAGGCCUCUGUAUGAUUCAGAAGUUCCUGUGGGAUUUACAGACCGACUUCUGAACUACUUGGACUAGAAUUGAACAUGUUACUUCUGUAAACAGUUGUGGAAAUUAUUGCACCGGAUUGAAAAUGAAGCUUAAGAAAGAUGCAAAUCUGGGAUGGUUUUGACUAUGAAGGGGCCAGAAACUCCUCCUUAUCUCUGAAAUGCCAAUAAAAAUAAAACUUCAGAAAUCCUAACACAUCUGAAUGGAUGGAACACAUACUAGGUUUUGCAAAUUCUAAUAUUUGGAAGAGAUUUAGGAAACGUUGCCUAAACACUGCUCCAGCUCAGCUGAGGUUGCACGACCCAUGCCUCUCUUGCCAGUAGAAAUUUCAACCAUCAAAUCCGUGCACCGAGAUGGAGAUAUGUCAUCAGAGGUUUCAGGUACAGCUUGCAAAGCUUCCUCCUUGCAUCCUACCUGAAUAAGUACAAGCCCCUGGGAACUUGCGGUAGUCCUUUUCAUCACACCUGCAGUAUUAAUCUCUCAGCUAGAAGAAUGCCAAGUAGAUAUGGAGGGAAAAGGGAGAACAGAAUUUAUCAGUCUUUUAACUCCGCAGAAUAAGUUGUUUUGUCCUCAGGUUUGCUUUCUGGCUCACUAUCAGAGGGCCCUACUACAAGGAGGAAAAUGCUGAUUGGUAGUGAGGUGAGCUUUGUGCAGAAUUAUCUUUUUUCUAUUAUGCAAUUUAUGUAGUUGGAAAAAUAGGCAGGCUUCAUCAGUCUUUUCUUUGUGUUUGCAUUUAAGGGAGAACCUUCUAAUUGAAAUUGCCUCUAUACCUCUUCAAAUACAGGUGACUGACUAAAAUUUUGAUAAGGCUAUAAUAUUAUCAAAUCUGAUGCUGCCAGCAGAACUUCUUCAAAGAUCAGACUAAAAGUAUUUUCAGAGAAAUUUGAUCAGGUUUUUAGAGUGGAUGCAUAUGUGCGUAAAUUACCUUUAGGCUACGUGCUCAUGGUCUUUUAUUAUGAAAUCAGUUUAGAAGCUUUCUGUUUGUUUACUGGUUUUAUGUUGAAACAAUAAGCUAAAGAAACAUGAGAAAAAGAGUGACUGGGCUGGAGAGCUAUCAUAAGGACUUUCAGAAAUCCCCUGUUUUCAAUAAAAGCAUAUAGUUCAGUGAAAUGGACAAGAAAGACUAUGAAAUGUAUCUAUAGGUGUUUUACGUUCUUGGCAAGAAAUAUUUUGGAAGUGAUUCUUUUUUUCAUUCGUCGUAUUCAUCAAUAUUAAUCAUCACUGCAUUGAAUGUACAGAGAAAACAACUUGUCUUGUACAAUUUGCAGUCUAUAUGGUAAGCUAGAAAUACCUGCCCUUGUAAAAAAAGUACCUGCCUACCUGCCCUUGUAAAAAUAUCUCAGGACUUUGUUCUUUAUUGUCUAUG